ensembl:lncRNA DHRS4-AS1 DHRS4 antisense RNA 1
GACUGGGGCAGCCCAGAACACUGGGGAGACUAGAUCGAUAGGGCUGCACAGAGGUGGCACAGUUGUGCCAGAGGUAGCAGGGACAGGAGGGCUGGCAAGGGAGGGUCCAGGGCUAGGGGAUUCGGAGUGGCUUCAGGCGGACCACGUGGCUACCUUUUUUCCAGGGCCAGACUUUGGCAGCGUGUAAGGUCUGAGGACAGGGGCACCGGAGGCCGAGGAUGAGAGGCCAGUGCCUGUUUCCAGGCAGCCAGGGCCUCAGAAACUCCGGCCGGAGCACUCACCCGUCGGUGGAGGCCGUUACCAGGGCCACCUUAUUUGCGAGCGGGUCCCGGCGGGUCAUCCCGGAGCUGGCCAUCCGCACCGAAUUCCAAGCCCGGGCACAGAGGCCUAGCAGCCCCGCCUUGUGCAUGGAUCAGACCAGCAAGUGCCACUUCGGAUAAACCCUUUGGACUCCUAACUCCAAUCAGGUGUCUGCUUUGUUGAGGACUCACAGACACAGUCUCCUUUCUUCAAGAUCUUUACAAUGCAAGACCUCACUAACACACAGGGAUGGUCUCCCAGAGGGUCUGUGCUGUUCCUUCACUCAGAACAUCAAGAUGCACUGAAGUAAGGAUCCUCUAUUCUACAGUUCCUGCUAGCUGAGCUAUUCCAUGGGGGCUUCAGCAGGAAAUUCCAAGGUUGGCUUUGACAAGCUAAGGCCGGCUGGUGGAGCACAUCGAGUUCUGGAGGUUCAUGUGUGUUUUCAUGAAGAUCUGUCUGCCCGUAGCAGAUAAAGAGUUGUUGCCCCACUCCUCCUGGGGUCUUCUAUUUUCCUGGGAGGAAUUUCUGGAUUAACUGAACACACACACACACACACACACCCUUUUGAAGCAUCAACAGUAAUUCUGAGUUCUUAGGGACAAUGCAGAUUAAAUCCACAAUAAGAAAGACAACUAUGGCCAGGUGUGGUGGCUCACGCCUGUAAUCCCAGAACUUUGGGAGGCUGAGGCGGAUGGAUCACCUGAGGUCAGGAGUUAGAGACCAACCUGACCAACAUGGAGAAACCCCGUUUCUACUAAAAAUGCAAAAUUAGCCGGGCAUGGUGGCAGGCGCCUGUAAUCCCAAAUACUCGGGAGGCUGAGGCAGGAGAAUCACUUAAACCCGGGAGGCAGAGGUUGCAGUGAGCCAAGAUCGCGCCAUUGCACUCCAGCCUGGGCAAGAAGAGCAAAACUCCAUCUCAAAAAAAAAAAAAGAGUACUAUUGAUCCAGAGGUGACCAGACUAGCCUCACUGGAGAUAAUAGGUGACAUUAUUAUGCAAAGUGGUUUCAGUUCCCUUGUCUUGUUUUUGGAAUAGUAUAAGAGGCCUACAAUACGAAUAAAUAAGGCCCAUCACAAGCCUCACCAAAGGACAAAACUAAUCCACUUCUGAAGAAGGCUCUUUGUUGGGCCAGAUCAAAUCCUUGGACAGAACUGUACUCUUAAUCUCUGUAGUGAAAGUGGGGGGUAGUUUAAGAAUUUAUUAACCUUCUACCUUGAGCAAUCCCUCAGAAGUAAGAGGUGUCAGGCCUCUGAGCCGAAGCUCAGCCAUUGUAACCCCUGUGACCUGCACAUAUAUGUCCAGAUGGCCUGCAGGAGCCAAGAAGUCUGGGGCAGCUGAAAAACCACACAAGAAGUAAAACAGCCAGUUCCUGCCUUAACUGAUUAACCAACAUUACAACAUUCCACCAUUGUGACCUGUCCCUGUCCUACCUUAACUGAUCAAUCGACCUUGUGACAGUCUUCUUCUGGACAAUGGGUCUUAUCAUCUCCCCACCAUGUACCUUGUGACCCCCUCCUCUGCUAACAAUAGAUAACCACUUUUUACUGUAAUUUUCCAUUACCUACCCAACUCCUAUAAAGCAACCCCUUCCCCAUCUCCCUUCACUGACUCUGUUUUCAGACUCAGCCCACUUGCACUCAAGUGAAUAAACAGCCUUGUUGCUCACACAAAGCCUGUUGGUGGUCUCUUCACACAGAUGUGCUUGACAAAAGGGAAGGGUGGAUUUGUCCUUCUGGUUACAUAUGUUCUGCUCACUCAUUUUGAAUUUAAUUAAACAAGGAUUGCCCUUACCUUUUCAUACUUUGUAAGAAACCAUAAAUACUUAUGCACCAUGAUUUUUUUAAAGAAACACUUUUUAUUUUGAAGUAAUUAUAGUCUCAUAGGAAGUUGCAAAAGUAGUACAUAGAGUCCCUGAGUACUCUUCCCCCAGUGGUGACAACUGUAGUAUAAUAUCAAUUCUGGGAAAUUGACAUUGGUACAAUACCAAAUAUACUAUGCCUUUUUCUCUAAGGCAUGAUGUUGCAGUAGCAUCCUUGUACAUGUAGCUAGGAGAACUUGUACUAAGCCCAGAUAAAUAGUUGAAGUACAAGGGCAAGGAGUGUGUCUUUGAUAUUUUAAUAGAAAUCACCUAUUGCCCUCUAGAAAAGCUGUACCCUUUUCCAGUGGCAGAGAACCUUCCUGAAAGGCAGUCCUGUGUAAUGGUGUCCAUUUCAUCACACCCUUAAAACACUCAGCUUUAACAAACAUGCAGAUUUUUGCUGAUGUGGGAGAAAAUAUUAAUUAUUAAUGAUAUUAAGGUGAUUAUCUUUUCGUAUGUUUAUAGAUAUUUGUAUUUCUUUUUAAAUGAACUGCUCAUGACCUUUGUCUACUUUUAUUUGGGUUUACUUCUUUCUCAUUUAUUCCUAUAAACUCUUUAUAAAAGGAAAUUAACCAUUUGAUUGUCAUAUGUUGUGAAUAUUUUUACCAUUUUGACUUUUGAAUUUAUGUCUUUUUAAUGAAUUGUAGAAGUUUAAAAUCUUUAUGGAAUAAAUUUAUUUAGUUUUUUGUUUAUGG